rnacentral:rRNA from 1 species
GACGAACCACACGAACGUUAUUCGGAAUUACUGGGCUUAAAGGGUGCGUAGGCGGCUUGGCAAGUUGGGUGUGAAAUACCUCGGCUCAACCGAGGAAUGGCGCUCAAAACUGCUGAGCUUGAGGGAGAUAGAGGUGAGCGGAACUUAAGGUGGAGCGGUGAAAUGCGUUGAUGUCUUAAGGAACACCCGUGGCGAAAGCGGCUCACUGGAUCUCUUCUGACGCUCAGGCACGAAAGCCAGGGAGCGAACGGG